rnacentral:rRNA from 1 species
AACGCGAAGAACCUUACUUACUCUUGACAUCCAGAGAACUUUCCAGAGAUGGAUUGGUGCCUUCGGGAACUCUGAGACAGGUGCUGCAUGGCUGUCGUCAGCUCGUGUUGUGAAAUGUUGGGUUAAGUCCCGCAACGAGCGCAACCCUUAUCCUUUGUUGCCAGCGGUUCGGCCGGGAACUCAAAGGAGACUGCCAGUGGUAAACUGGAGGAAGGUGGGGAUGACGUCAAGUCAUCAUGGCCCUUACGAGUAGGGCUACACACGUGCUACAAUGGCGUAUACAAAGAGAAGCGACCUCGCGAGAGCAAGCGGACCUCAUAAAGUACGUCGUAGUCCGGAUUGGAGUCUGCAACUCGACUCCAUGAAGUCGGAAUCGCUAGUAAUCGUAGAUCAGAAUGCUACGGUGAAUACGUUCCCGGGCCUUGUACACACCG